rnacentral:lncRNA from 10 species
GUUCUAGGCAGUGUUGGGAACGUCCCUGUGUCUGGCAUCCGUUACUCAGUCCAUCCUGAAGUCAGGAAGAGCUAAUGGUGUUUGCUAGGGGCACAGAGGUUCAGAAUGAAAACCAGGAGGAAACAGAGGGAUUCAUGUCCCCCAUAAAGGUAAGAUGACAGGGUACCUCUCUCAGGGCAAAAGGCAGAGCAACACAGACAAUGAGGUUUUAGCUGUCCCUUGACUGAGAGCGCACUGGAUGCCUCAUGCCAAGUCUUUCUCUCAAAAUGUAGGAUAUCUAUCCUGCCUUUCCUACGGUAGCCGGUAGGUAAGAUGCAUGUAUAUGACAACGGAGGAGAAAGCAAAACGGUGUUCAUCUAACCUUCACCUCUUAUAUCAGGCGACCUCUGACUGUUACCCCUCAGAGUCUUGGAUCCUACAUCUGUAAAAUGGGAGUGAUGAGACGUUCCUCGUGGCACAGAGCUGAAGAGCAGAAUCACAGUACUUUUAAACCCUG